rnacentral:lncRNA from 1 species
AGGCUCACCUACUUGAAAGCCGGGUGGGGCAGGAGUGGGACAGAAGAGAUGAAGCUCUGUGCGUGGCCGUGUUCUCAGACUACUUGGAGGAGGGUGCCUGUGGAUUCGGCACCAGUGGAUCUGACACAAUAAGAUGGCAGAAGUUAGCUGGACUUAAUGCAGCCAGAUGGAGAAGAGUGCUUGAGGGCUCUCUGUGCUGUACUCCAUUUUCAGGCCACCACUCGUCUACUGCUCCAGGCAGAAGAGCUGGCCCCAAACCCACUGAAAUAAGUCGUUCUCUGGAGCACCCAGUUUUCUCAGUCUGAGGAUUUCCACAGCUGCCGUAGCUGCACGGCCAACGUACAGAGUGGAUUUGUGCCCAUGGCCUUGGAGGGAAGGGAGCAAUGGACCAGUUUGGGGGCUGUACAGACACCCUUGUGAAAGCCCACGUGUCAACAACCCGUGAUAACACCGCAUCAACCCACGGCAGAUAUUCCCUCUCUGAACGCUCCUCCAAGAGGAGGUAGGUGAUGUCACUUAUGGGGCAGAACUAAAGGUAGUAUGAGGACAUGCGAGCUCCCAGACAAGCUCCUUUUACACUGAGUUUUGGUUUUGGAGAAGAUGCUGCCCUUCAGACACACAUUUUCUCCUUUGGACAGUAUUCAACAUCUCAGUCCCAUUGCUUAAGGCCCACGGUAAGGUAGUGAUUAUAACUUCUGUUAUGAGAAAAUGUUCGGGUCACAGUUGACUUCUUCAAGGUCAUAUCCUUAUUAUUUGAGCUGAAUGGGAAACAUUAACAAAGUGAUUCCCUGGCCC